CUGACAACGAGCAGUAUGCUGGCGGGCUAUAGUGAUUGGCCGUAUCUUGAGCAAGUGUUCAAGCUGGAACGGACGGUGUGGCGCGAGAAGGAGCGGGUGCUUCACGAGAUUCGGUAUGGGGUGACGAGCAUGCCAAAGAAGGUGGCAGGGGCAGAGCGGGUGUUGGAGGUGGCACGGGGAGAAUGGGGCAUCGAGAAUGGGCUGCAUUACCGACGAGA
rnacentral:misc_RNA from 1 species